AGGGGCGGGGCCAUCACGACCCUCUCUGAAGGGCGACGGGGGCUGAGGGCACCGGCGGUGGCACCGCGGGGUGCCCUGCUCGGGUGGGCACGGAAAGCAAAACCCACCGGGGAAGUAAUAGAACCAUGGAAUGGUUUGGGUUGGAAGGGACCCUAAAGACCGUGUAGUUCCAGAUGCCCUGCCGGGGGCAGGGACACCUUCCACUAGACCAGGUUGCUCAAAGCCCCAUCCCACCUGGCCUUGAACACUUCCAGGGAUGGGUCGUCCAUAACCUCUUCAGGCAGCCUGUUCCAGUGUCUCGCCACCCUUACAGUAGAGAAUUUCUUCCUAAUACCUAAAUCUAUCCUCCUUCAGUUUAAAGCCAUUUCCUCUUGCCCUGUCACUCCAUGCCCUUGUGGAAAGUCCCUCUCCAGCUCUCUUGGAGCCCCUUUAGGUAGUGGAAGUGCUCUAAGCUGUCCCCUAAGCCUUCUCUUCUCCAGGCUGAACAGCCCCAAUUCUCUCAGCCUGUCUUCACAGGAGAGGUGUUUCAUCCCUCCGAUCAACUUUAUGACACUCCUUUGGACUCAUUCCAAUGGGUCUGUGUCUUUCUCGUGUUGGACUCCCCACAGUACUCCAGCACUGAGCUCCUCAGGGACACACACCUCUGGUCCUCCCAUUUCUCUGAGAGGGACCUUUCUUGGGCUGUGUACUGGUGGUGGUGCAACAACCUCUGUCUAUCACAGUAUAAUGAUACUUAAAAGCAAUGAAGCCGUGAAACACCACAGGAUUCCACUCCAGGAAGAACUGGUGAAAGAAUGAGCAAAACCAAUCACAGGCACACGGAGUGAAAGGAGACAAGAUCCUUGCAGUGGUAGAAUGGAGUAGAUUUACAAGAGGGGGAAAAUGUCUGGUAGUUUCUCAGUAAAAAGGAGACUGAAACCAGUUUGAUAAAAUGAAUACAAGUGAAAACAGGAGAUAGUAAGAGAAGUGGCUUUAGUUUAUUCAUCAGAUUAGUCGGUUCAGGCUAAAAGUAAAGAUCCUGUGAGCUAAAGAGAUCAAACAUAGGUUUUUCUAUAUGGUAAAGGCAUGGGGCUCAUCCAAGAAUGAUGGUUAUUCCUUCAACAAUGACAUGAAUUCUGGAGCAACAGAAGCAUCCAACAAAACAGACAACUACCUGUAAAAACAUGUUCACAGCAGGAGCUGCUUUUCUCAAGUUUGAACAAGGGUUAUUACAGCUGUCAGCAAUUUUAUAUUUAAACAACUUGAGACUGAGCCUCUUAAAUACAUGUGUACUUGAUUUCCUAUGUUCAGUUUGCUCAUGGUCCUUGUACCUGCUAAAGAGGCCUUUUUCUUAUGGUCUGAGAACCAAGUCAAACAGCGUAUAACCUUUCUGGGCAUUUCAUGCUAUAGACCAAACACAAGAAGAACCUUAGCCUUCAAGUUACUGGAACCAACACAAACCUGAAGACUAGGAAAUGUCAGUUGACGUACAUGAAUAAUACCUGUUGAAAAUUAACACCAGAAUAAUGCAAGUGCAUAGUCAGAACUGUACCAAGGACCAGAAGAAACUGAAGCAGCUAAUAGAAAGAAGGCUGAUGGUUAAGAAAGCAGACUAAAGCAGAACUCUGUAAAUGAAGAUAAUGGUAUGACGAUUUUAAGACUAGAGUAAAAUUGCUUCUCCCUCUUUAGUCCCAGCUGCCCAAAACCCUUCUUUACCCCCUGAGGAUCCUGCUUGAUGCAGCUGUGAAGUUAUUUGUGUCAACUUGGCCACAACAGAUAUGUGUAACCCGCUGCAGAACAUGAACUUUCUGAUAUGUCCAAGUCACCCUGUAGCCACUGUGCCUGAGCCAGAGCAGAGGGCAGCAAUCAGAGGGUGAUAUGGGAAGGAAUGAGUGUGAGUGUCUCUUUGGCUGCAGGCUGUAAUUAGAUCCUAUUAGGUGACCAACAAAACCGAACGAUUGUUCUCCUUCCACCCCAAGAAAUUCCCUACUGUUGAUUAAAAACUAAUGCAAAAUUUAUUUCAAGAUUAUGUAACCUGUGAGUCAUUUCUCUUGAUUCUUCUAUUUGGAGUGGUUACUGGGAAUUGAAGUGGUUACAGAAUUCUGACAGAUACAUCUGUUCGAGGCUCGGAUGCUUUCAGAACAUUGCUAUAUUUCCAGCCAAGACAUUGGAAGUGGGUGGCUCCCCACUACUUCUUCACUUACUCUCACUCUCCUGGCUGUGGUGAAGAGUUUGACGUAUUUUCAUUUGUUUACUGUAAGAGCUAUCUUUCAUUGCUUAUGUUAUUGUAAAUGAGGUAUUUCUGUGGAUAGGUAGGUAGAGCUACUGAUUUUUUGCCAUGGCCUUAUUUUCCAGCUUUAUGAUUUAAGUGCAUUCUUGAACUUGGUUAACAAUUUUGUUUCUAGAAUGAGAAACUUCAGGCUUCAUUUGUGUUACCCUGUCAAUGUGACUGCUGUGGAAAAUCUUUUUGUGAUUUAAAUCUCACCGUGGCAAAUAUGAAAAGGCUGAAGCAGGAAUUUCUAAAAUUCCAUAACAACGUCACAGUCAGGAAAUAAAGACUCCUGAGAAGAUGCUGGACCUGAGCAGAUUUUUCUCUUAAACCUUCUCCAGAAGGAACUUCACUCAGCAAAAUGCUAUUUUCAGACUUGGACAACCAGCAGUUGGCAGAGCAGUGGUGUGAUGUUGGAAUAACCAGAAAUGGUUCGCUGAACUUCAGGGUAUAAAAAAUAAAUCACUUGAUGAAGCCUGCCUGUUGUGCAGAAGCAGGCAUCAUCUGUGCCAUCUGAAUGUGAGACCCAUAAAACACAAGUCAUGCUCCUGGUUCAUGGUCACAACUGCCCCGGGAGCACAGGCAUCAGGACCAAUAUCUGAGGUAUCACUGAGAGUGUGUGCAUGAGACUGACCCUUGCUGCCCAAGGACGAGCUACACAUGACAUGGCACCUGCUCUCCCUGUGCAUCCUGGUUGUUAAUCAAUUAUUAAUAGUCAUCUACUUGCACUGACAGACUGAUGGAGAAAGUCUGGUGUGUAGACUGAAAAAUGAAAGAAAAAUAUCUGUCCCUGUGUUUCAGUCAUUGUGAGAAGAAGCAGAGCGUGGCAAAUUUUGCAAUAGGGGUGUGGUAGGGGUCCUGAAGACUAAGGAUGAUUAUAUGAAUUUGCAAUUACUCUGAAAUAGGGGGGCUUUGAGCUUUGAAGCAAGAGGCUACUUGCAUAAAAAGCUGUAAUGAUUGUGUAUAUAUCAGUGGGUGUGUGAAGAAAUAAAAAAUUGCUGUCCUUCA